rnacentral:lncRNA from 1 species
CUCCCACCCCGCUGAGAACAGCCUGGAAUCCCUGAUACUGAGGGACAGAGACCGUCCCUGAGAGUCUGCCUUGCCCCGGGCCGUGGGGAGCCGCAGGGACACUGCUCCCACCGUGGAACUUUCUCCCGUUGCCUGUUUGCUGGACCAUUUCUCAGUGAUCUGAACAGUUCAAAUGUAAAGGCUUGUGUUCAUCCUUACAUCUCUCCAAAGUUUGCAGGGUGCCUGGCACAUAGUUCCCUGGGGAAUGGUGGUGUUGCUGAAAGUGACUUAGCGUUUCUGAGCUUCUGCUACCUGGCUCCAGGACUCUCCGGAUGAAAGAACAGAAUAACCCUCCCUCCCUCACAUGUCACCUUCCCUGCAGCCCAUUGUGAAACAUGAAUGCAGGCGUGGGCCACGUGUGAAACAGGCCCUAGUGCUGUGUCCAGGAUAGACUGCUGUAGCAUUUCCUGCUGACCUCCAGGAAGGAUGAGCAAUAGGGAGGACCAACCUUGGAAACUGGAUCCUUCUGAAAGAGAUGCAAGGCUUUCUUUUGUAUAUAAAUCACUCUUCUGAAGUAUUUUAGGUGGGAGUUGAACUUGUACCAGGGAUGUGGAGUCUCGCUAAGGACUGGGGAUAGGUGCAUGCACAAGAGUGGGUGGGGGGUGGGGAGAGAGAGAGUAUAAGGGCUGAAGAAUCUCAUCCUACCCCAGCAACACUCAAUUUUCCCCCUACUUUUUGAAAAAUCUGAUUUAUUUUUUUUAAAGAUUUUAUUUAUUUAUUCAUGAGAGACAGAGGGGGAGAGACAGAGAGAGAGAAGCAGAGGGAGAAGCAGGCUCCCAAGGAGCAGGGAGCCCGAUGCGGGACUCGAUCCCAGGACCCUGGGAUCAUGACCUGAGCCGAAGGCAGACGCUUAACCAUCUGAGCCACCCAGGCGCCCUGAAAAAUCUGAUUUAUUGAGAUGAAAUUUACUUACAGUAAAUUCAUCCUUUUUAGUGUACAGUCCUUUGAGUUUUGACAAGCACACAAAUGGUGUAACUACCACCACAAUCAAAAUAUAGAAUAGUUCCAGCACUCCCCAAAAUUUCCUCCUUUCCCUUUGUAGUCACCUCCCCCCCCACCCACCCCCAUCCCUGGCAACAACCUCUGAUCUGUUUUCUCUCCUUAUGGUUUUACCUUUGUGGCAGUGUCAUAUAAAAG